GUACACGGUGGAUGCCUUGGCAGUCAGAGGCGAUGAAAGACGUAGUAACUUGCGAUAAGCCCAGAUUAGGUAGUAACAACCAUUUGAGUCUGGGAUUUCUGAAUGGGGAAACCCACGUGCAUAAGCACGUAUCCUUACCUGAAUACAUAGGGUAAGGAGGCGAACCGGGGGAACUGAAACAUCUAAGUACCCCGAGGAAAAGAAAUCAACCGAGAUUCCGAAAGUAGCGGCGAGCGAAAUUGGACUAGCCCUUAAGCUUUACACGCGUUAGACGAACGGUCUGGAAAGUCCGACGAUACAGGGUGAUAGUCCCGUAGUUGACGACGUGUGUUCAGUGAAAUCGAGUAGGGCGGGACACGUGAUAUCCUGUCUGAAUAUGGGGGGACCAUCCUCCAAGGCUAAAUACUACUGACUGACCGAUAGUGAACCAGUACCGUGAGGGAAAGGCGAAAAGAACCCCUGUGAGGGGAGUGAAAUAGAACCUGAAACCGUGUACGUACAAGCAGUAGGAGCAGGCUUUGUCCUGUGACUGCGUACCUUUUGUAUAAUGGGUCAGCGACUUAUAUUCAGUGGCAAGGUUAACCAUCUAGGGGAGCCGUAGGGAAACCGAGUCUUAACUGGGCGUUCAGUCUCUGGAUAUAGACCCGAAACCAGGUGAUCUAGCCAUGGGCAGGUUGAAGGUUGAGUAACAUCAACUGGAGGACCGAACCGACUAAUUUGAAAAAUUAGCGGAUGACUUGUGGCUAGGGGUGAAAGGCCAAUCAAACCUGGAGAUAGCUGGUUCUCCCCGAAAGCUAUUUAGGUAGCGCCUCGGACGAAUACUACUGGGGGUAGAGCACUGUUAAGGCUAGGGGGUCAUCCCGACUUACCAACCCUUUGCAAACUCCGAAUACCAGUAAGUACUAUCCGGGAGACACACGGCGGGUGCUAACGUCCGUCGUGGAGAGGGAAACAACCCAGACCGCCAGCUAAGGUCCCAAAUUACUACUAAGUGGGAAACGAUGUGGGAAGGCUCAGACAGCCAGGAUGUUGGCUUAGAAGCAGCCAUCAUUUAAAGAAAGCGUAAUAGCUCACUGGUCGAGUCGGCCUGCGCGGAAGAUGUAACGGGGCUAAGUAGUAAACCGAAGCUGCGGCAAUGUGCUUUUGCACAUUGGGUAGGGGAGCGUUCUGUAAGCGGUUGAAGGUGUGUGGUAACGCAUGCUGGACGUAUCAGAAGUGCGAAUGCUGACAUGAGUAACGAUAAAGGGGGUGAAAAACCUCCUCGCCGGAAGACCAAGGGUUCCUGUCCAACGUUAAUCGGGGCAGGGUAAGUCGACCCCUAAGGCGAGGCCGAAAGGCGUAGUCGAUGGGAAACGGGUUAAUAUUCCCGUACUUCUUACAAUUGCGAUGGGGGGACGGAGAAGGCUAGGUGGGCCUGGCGACGGUUGUCCAGGUUCAAGUGYGUAGGCUURAGAGUUAGGUAAAUCCGGCUCUUUUUAAGGCUGAGACACGACGUCGAGCMWCUACGGWKGUGAAGUCAUUGAUGCCAUGCUUCCAGGAAAAGCCUCUAAGCUUCAGAUUGUAAGGAAUCGUACCCCAAACCGACACAGGUGGUCGGGUAGAGAAUACCAAGGCGCUUGAGAGAACUCGGGUGAAGGAACUAG
rnacentral:rRNA from 1 species